UGCUGGAGGUAUCAGAAGUGCGAAUGCUGACAUAAGUAACGAUAAAGCGGGUGAAAAGCCCGCUCGCCGGAAGACCAAGGGUUCCUGUCCAACGUUAAUCGGGGCAGGGUGAGUCGACCCCUAAGGCGAGGCCGAAAGGCGUAGUCGAUGGGAAACGGGUUAAUAUUCCCGUACUUGGUGUUACUGCGAAGGGGGGACGGAGAAGGCUAUGUUGGCCGGGCGACGGUUGUCCCGGUUUAAGCGUGUAGGCUGGUUUUCCAGGCAAAUCCGGAAAAUCAAGGCUGAGGCGUGACGACGAGGCACUACGGUGCUGAAGCAACAAAUGCCCUGCUUCCAGGAAAAGCCUCUAAGCAUCAGGUAACAUCAAAUCGUACCCCAAACCGACACAGGUGGUCAGGUAGAGAAUACCAAGGCGCUUGAGAGAACUCGGGUGAAGGAACUAGGCAAAAUGGUGCCGUAACUUCGGGAGAAGGCACGCUGACACGUAGGUGAAGUGAUUUACUCAUGGAGCUGAAGUCAGUCGAAGAUACCAGCUGGCUGCAACUGUUUAUUAAAAACACAGCACUGUGCAAACACGAAAGUGGACGUAUACGGUGUGACGCCUGCCCGGUGCCGGAAGGUUAAUUGAUGGGGUCAGCGCAAGCGAAGCUCCUGAUCGAAGCCCCGGUAAACGGCGGCCGUAACUAUAACGGUCCUAAGGUAGCGAAAUUCCUUGUCGGGUAAGUUCCGACCUGCACGAAUGGCGUAAUGAUGGCCAGGCUGUCUCCACCCGAGACUCAGUGAAAUUGAACUCGCUGUGAAGAUGCAGUGUACCCGCGGCAAGACGGAAAGACCCCGUGAACCUUUACUAUAGCUUGACACUGAACAUUGAGCCUUGAUGUGUAGGAUAGGUGGGAGGCUUUGAAGCGUGGACGCCAGUCUGCGUGGAGCCGACCUUGAAAUACCACCCUUUAAUGUUUGAUGUUCUAACGUGGACCCGUAAUCCGGGUUGCGGACAGUGUCUGGUGGGUAGUUUGACUGGGGCGGUCUCCUCCUAAAGAGUAACGGAGGAGCACGAAGGUUGGCUAAUCCUGGUCGGACAUCAGGAGGUUAGUGCAAUGGCAUAAGCCAGCUUGACUGCGAGCGUGACGGCGCGAGCAGGUGCGAAAGCAGGUCAUAGUGAUCCGGUGGUUCUGAAUGGAAGGGCCAUCGCUCAACGGAUAAAAGGUACUCCGGGGAUAACAGGCUGAUACCGCCCAAGAGUUCAUAUCGACGGCGGUGUUUGGCACCUCGAUGUCGGCUCAUCACAUCCUGGGGCUGAAGUAGGUCCCAAGGGUAUGGCUGUUCGCCAUUUAAAGUGGUACGCGAGCUGGGUUUAGAACGUCGUGAGACAGUUCGGUCCCUAUCUGCCGUGGGCGCUGGAGAACUGAGGGGGGCUGCUCCUAGUACGAGAGGACCGGAGUGGACGCAUCACUGGUGUUCGGGUUGUCAUGCCAAUGGCACUGCCCGGUAGCUAAAUGCGGAAGAGAUAAGUGCUGAAAGCAUCUAAGCACGAAACUUGCCCCGAGAUGAGUUCUCCCUGAGACUUAGAGUCUCCUGAAGGAACGUUGAAGACGACGACGUUGAUAGGCCGGGUGUGUAAGCGCAGCGAUGCGUUGAGCUAACCGGUACUAAUGAACCGUGAGGCUUAACCUUACAACGCCGAAG
rnacentral:rRNA from 6 species